rnacentral:misc_RNA from 1 species
GAUGAAGAACGUAGCGAAAUGCGAUAAGUAAUGUGAAUUGCAGAAUUCAGUGAAUCAUCGAAUCUUUGAACGCACCUUGCGCCCUUUGGCUAUUCUGAAGGGCAUGCCUGUUUGAGUAUCGUGAACACCUCAACUCUCAUGGUCUGCCAUGAUGAGCUUGGACUUUGGGGGUCUUGCUGGCCUACUGUCAGCUCCUCUCAAAUGAAUCAGCUUACCAGUGUUUGGUGGCACCACAGGUGUGAUAACUAUCUACGCUUGUGGUUUUCCACCAGGUAACCUUCAGCAGUGGAGGUUCGCUGGAGCUCACAGAUGUGUCUCUCCUCAGUGAGGACAGCUCUUUGAAUGUUUGAUCUCAAAUCAGGUAGGACUACCCGCUGAACUUAAGCAUAUCAAUAAGCGGAGGA